UAUGUAAUUUUCAUCAAUGAUUACAUAACAUUGCACUUUAAUAUAAAGUAUGCUUGGAUUGUUUUCAUGUAUGCUAUAUAUUAUUGCAAAUUAGUUCUUCAUAAAAUUGUAUAUUUCUGCAGUGAAAAAGUAUGUAUGCAAUCAUGCAAGUUGUAGGAAAACAUGUACGUGUACUGCACAUGUACCAGGAAGACAAGAUAACAAUUAUGACUGUCAAUCAUCAUUUGCUGACUGUAUCUGUCAAGCUGACUACACAGACUAUAGUAGCCAAAGAUAAGUUGUAGAAAGUGUGUUUCAGAGUUGAAUAUAUGAAUUAAAGCAUUGGCACAGUGAAUGGCAGCUGAAAAAUUUUGACCCUUGUUUCUGGAAGUGAAAUGUUAGAUGCACAGGAAUGACCAAAGCUUGACAAUAUAACUACAUCAUAGGCCGGGCAUUGUUAUGGCUGGAUAGAAGGUUGCAAAAUGACGACAAAGAAGGAUUUAGCUUUUUAGAUCCCACAUCUUUAUUCAAUUCUCCCAGCAGAUCAUUUUGCCUUUAGAUGAAAUUCUCAAAAUUAUAUAUUCAAUAUUGAUUUAAACUAAGUAAGAUUAAAUUUAGACUUUACGUCAUAUCUGCUUUAACAAAGGAAAGAACAAGAUGGGAGGAGCAGCUGCAAGGUCUUGUAGCAGCGGUAGAAAGAAAGCAGUCUGACGAAAAAUGGCACGUAUUCAGUAUGUGUACUAGCGGUUAUAUAACAUGCCAGAAUGUUCUCGAAAGUACUGGUCUAGGAUAAGAUCCUGAAACUGCAGUAAGUUAAUUAUAGGUUGCAUGCUCGCGCAGAGCAAAGCCACUGUAUUUUCUAUAUUUUACAUGUAUGUAAUACAUAUUCUUUGUGUCUUGGUGAAUACAUUCUACCUCACUGGCAGGUAACAGAAACUGACG